rnacentral:rRNA from 1 species
AGAGUUUGAUCAUGGCUCAGGAUGAACGUUGGCGGCGUGCCUAAUACAUGCAAGUCGAACGGGAAGGUUCCUUUCGGGGGACUGGAGAGUGGCGCACGGGUGAGUAACACGUAACUGAUCUGCCCUUCAGACAGGGAUAACCUUUGGAAACAGAGGCUAAUACCGGAUGUUCUCGCGGUAGUUAGAGAGCCGUGAGGAAAGGCUUAGGCGCUGAGGGAUGAGGUUGCGUACCAUCAGCUAGUUGGUGAGGUAAAGGCUUACCAAGGCGAUGACGGUUAGGGGACCUGAGAGGGUGGCCCCCCACACUGGGACUGAGACACGGCCCAGACUCCUACGGGAGGCAGCAGUAAGGGAUAUUGCACAAUGGAUCGGAAGUCUGAUGCAGCGACGCCGCGUGGGUGAAGAAGGUUUUCGGAUCGUAAAGCCCUUUUCUAU